UCGGUAUGGGAUGGGGAUGCGUUCCAUUAGUUAGUUGGCGGGGUAACGGCCCACCAAGACAACGAUGGAUAGGGGUUCUGAGAGGAAGGUCCCCCACAUUGGAACUGAGACACGGUCCAAACUCCUACGGGAGGCAGCAGUGAGGAAUAUUGGUCAAUGGACGAGAGUCUGAACCAGCCAAGUAGCGUGAAGGAUGACUGCCCUAUGGGUUGUAAACUUCUUUUAUAUGGGAAUAAAAUGUUCCACGUGUGGGAUUUUGUAUGUACCAUAUGAAUAAGGAUCGGCUAACUCCGUGCCAGCAGCCGCGGUAAUACGGAGGAUCCGAGCGUUAUCCGGAUUUAUUGGGUUUAAAGGGAGCGUAGGUGGAUUGUUAAGUCAGUUGUGAAAGUUUGCGGCUCAACCGUAAAAUUGCAGUUGAAACUGGCAGUCUUGAGUACAGUAGAGGUGGGCGGAAUUCGUGGUGUAGCGGUGAAAUGCUUAGAUAUCACGAAGAACUCCGAUUGCGAAGGCAGCUCACUGGACUGCAACUGACACUGAGGCUCGAAAGUGUGGGUAUCAAACAGGAUUAGAUACCCUGGUAGUCCACACAGUAAACGAUGAAUACUCGCUGUUUGCGAUAUACAGUAA
rnacentral:rRNA from 1 species